CGCGCCUGGGAGCAGCCACCCGUCCGGUGCAGCACACUGCGCCUGCAGGCGGCCCGCGGUGCGCACCGCCCCCGCCUUAGCACCCAUGGCCGGGGCAGGGCCGACACCUCCACGUCGCCGCUUACCUUCCCCAGCUAAGUGACGCGCCACCAGCCUGGAGCUCAGCGGACGCUAGUCGAAAGCCAGGGUCGCAUUCCCGAAAUGGUCUGGGGCCUCCUGGGCCCAACCCUCUCCCCUGCCCCCCUCCCCGGCCGCGAAGACCAAGUGCCGGAACGUCCCAGUGGCGCCCGCGGCCCAGGCGGCCUUACCUUUCGCUUCGUUAUCCGAGGUGGGUAGGAGCAGGAGGACAGCGGCCUGCCAACAGGUUGUUCCAGGCGAUAGGCGGCUUUGGGGUCGCCCCAGGAGUCCAGCUGCGAGAGACCAAUGGGAUUUGAAAAUGGCCUUGAUGAUUCAGACGGCCGUGACGUCAGCGGGGUCAAGUUGUCGGCAGGCGGAGCGCGCAGAGUGGAGUAACAGCGCCAUCUAGCAGCUGCCUCGGGGUAGGGGCACCGGAGCCCUUCCCCGCGAACAAAGGAAGCGCCCCCCGGGCGGCAGGGGAGGGAAUAUUCCGGGAAAGAAAGAGGGAACCUGCGGAGCCUCGGUCAGUUUGGAGGAGUCACGUAUCACACGGGAAACCAGCACACAAGACGCAACAAAACCCGACCCAGAGAAGCGUCCUUUACAGAGCGCACGGGCUGGGAGCAUGUUUGAAAGAAGACAGACCAGUCUAUUUUUGUGGUUGUUUUUAAAUAAAAGGAAGAAAUAAGGGGAACCGUAUGUUUCAAACAGUUAUUUCCGUUUCUCCAUCGCCUUCUUCCAAAGCGAACUAAACUCUCCACCCCUUCCUCAGGAAACGGAAUCUGGAGAACAACUUGUCUUUCCUGUCGCCCCACAUUUUUCCUUGGACAGAGCCUAGGGUUCAGACUUUCCGAAGGGCUGGAGUUUGGCGGGGAAAGGACUGGAGCCCAGCGCCCUGGAGUGGAGGAGUGAGGAGGCUAGACCGUUUCUAAGGAGGCCCAAGCCCGCUGCGGCUAGAAGACCGCAGAAAGAAAUCCGCCGAAUUUCCCCAUCCAGGGGUGGAGAGAGAAGACGCAGGGGUUCCUGAACCUCCGGAAAACUGGAAGGAAAUGUGGAGUGUAUGAUUUGCUUGCAGGACCGGCCAGGGGAGAUUUGAAAUGGUUUUGUGUUUUCAUAUGCAGGGUCACCGUGGCCUCAGCAUGGGGGUUAUCCAGGGCAAGGUUAGGCUGUUUAGGCCCCAGACUUGGGACAGUCCGGGCAGCAGUCAAUCCAGGGAGCCAUUUGUCCCACCGCCCAUCCCGCGGGAAACGGGCGAGACUUUAUGGCCACUCUGUUUGUAUUAUCUGCAUUAGUCUUUCCCCACCAGUUUGAUCGAAACCGUUCCCUUUUACGAGGACCCAACGAAAAUUUCCCGUCAUAUUUAUCAGCCAGGGAUAAAAAUUUAGUAUGGGAACUGAUAUUUCCUCAUUUAUGGGACGAUGAAAUUAAAUACCAAAGCAAUUGAGAAUUAUAUGGCUUUGGGGGUUCCCUCCCCCCUCUUUCACGUCUCCUUUAUUUUCCUGCCUGGUGUGCUUUUCCCAGGAAUUUAGCGUCCCAGUUCCCUACCCUUACCCCCCACUUUGGAGUCUGGUGGGUCCUUUUCCCCACGGCCAAGUGGCCCUUGGCCACCUCAGCCUUUUCUUUUUUUUUUUCUCUGGGUGUUAGUAGCUGGGGGCCAGGACAGUGCUACCCGAGCCUCUGCCCAGGCCAGCCAGGACAGGCUGGGAUCAGAGAAAGGUUUCCAGGGAAGAGCCGCAAAGGGUUUGAGCCCAGCCUGGGAGGGGGUGAAGGAGUCGGCAGGAAAGGGUGAAGGAGAUAAACUUCAGACAAGCCCCAAGGCGUAGCCUGGGGAACCAGCAGACAGGGAGCAGACCCAUCGGCCUCAGGGGUCCCACCACCCAACCUCUUUCCAAGCCCACCUCUCACCUUAGCCAAGGGAGAGGACAGAGUCGCUUCGGAAUUAUCGCCAUCAUUAAUGAAAAUAAUACUCCAGGGAGGAGCCUCCCGCCUCGACUCCCACCUCCUCACAAGACAGAAUAGUGUUUAAAGUUGAAAUAAUUAGAAGUAUGAUAAACACGGCCGAUUAAUGAAAAAAGAAAUCAAAUUCAUCAGCCUAAGUGGGACCCCCGGUGGGACAAAUGUUUGCCUCUAAUUACGCAAGAUAAACGAAAACCCGGUGCUGCUAAACUAGAGCCCGCUCGGACGCAGACCUGAAUAACUUGUUGGGUUUUCACAGACUUUGAGAUUCUGCUUCAGUGGAGGUAAAAGGAAGGAAAAACCCUCAACACACCCCAGAAGCACCCUGGUUUCUCCAGCAAAAAAUUGGAGUUUCCCCAACAGGUUAAGAAAGUCAACUGGGAAAUUCUGAAGAUGAAGUGAAAAAGGAAGAAUGUCUUUCCCUUUUGGGUUAAAUAAUAAAAUAAAAAUAAAGUGUGUGUAUUGAAAUCUUUUUAAGCAAAGAGGAAACAGAAUCACACCAGAGAUUGCAGGUUUUUUCCUCUUGCUUUGGAGGCCGAGAUAAAUCCUUCCCUUCCCAAAACUUGAAGAAAAGAUUCGCUUUUCUUCUUCACUAGCACCAGGCUCUGCCCCAGCUGAAUUGGGAGCAGGGAAAUUCCAGGCAAAAUUCGGAAUGCCCAGAGACCCAGAAAAGAAAAAGAUUUUCAAACAGGUACUAGAGGGAGGUAGGAGGCUGAGGACACUUAGCAGGGCCUCUGGUCUACUGUGGACCUCACAGCCCCCCAGGCAGCUCGGCCAGCAGAAUCUCUCACGUCUUGACAUUGCACACACUUGCACACAGAUGCUACGGAGUUCAGCAUCUAUACACGUGUCUAACUUGCACUUAAAUAUGUGUACACAGCCACAGAUAUUCACUUUUACCCAAAGUGCUGUCUAAGAUCUCCGAAUCCCGAAUUCUAAUAACCCGCGCCAGUCUGACUGCUUCCUGGCCCUGCCGAAGCUGGCCAGUUAUUUAAUUUUGUCCCCUGAAUUGAAACCAGACCGAAGACACCUCGGAGAGAAGCUUUGGGAGGAGGGUGGGAGGAUGUCUUAGGGGCAGGCCCUGCCCCCCACUUUAGUGGUUUGCUUCUAAGUUGCCCCCAGUAAGUCAGGUUUCUAGCUAGAGUCGGGGCUGUGGUUAGGCUGGCUUGCUCCGGAGAAAAACACCGAACCUUUCUUACCGGUUAAGUUCCUUUUCAAAGAUCUCUGUUUGCCUUCCUUUCCUUUCUUAUUUUUCUUUUUUUUUCUUCUCUUCUUUCUUUCCUUCUUGUUUCAUCCUUCUCUUUUCUCUUUAUUUGCUUCUUUCUGUUUUUCUUUUUCUUUUUUCUUCCUGUAAUUUAUUUUUUCCUACUUUUUCCAAUCCUUUCUCUUUCUUGUCUUCCUUAUUUCUCCCAUUUCCUUGUUUCCUUCUUUCUUUAUUAUACAAUUAAUUCUUUGCUCUUUUCUCUCUCCAAUUAUUUCCUUCCCCCUGACUUUCUUUCCUAGCCUUUCUUAUUUUUCUCUGGUGUGCUGGGCUUAGUGAGGGGGACAGCACCAGGCUCAGUCGCAUGCCUCCCUAGCCCAGCUGCUAAGGCUUGGAGUUGACCUUCUCCCGCCUACAGCCUUAGCUCAGCUCCUCCUCACAAGGCGAAGUGUAGGGCUGCCAGUCAUCAGCAGCCAGGCCCCAGCAGUCGCCAUUAGAGGGAGGAAAAAUAGGAUUCUGGGGCACAUCCACACUAGUGCUGAUGGCUUCUUGAAGUGCUAGGAUUCAGGGGUCAUGUAUUUUCACUUCCAUCACCCCAAAGGAGGCUUGUCUACCAGGCCUACCUUUGGAGAAGUCUGUCCCAUCUUUGUCCUGACCUCCGGAGCUGAAACAUUAAAAUGGCCCAAAGUUGAGCCCAGUUGGUGCUCCCAAGGCUGGAGUCAGGGGAAAUGAGCGAGUGGGAUUUUGUCAGUCCCAGGUUGAGGGGCAGGUCCAGGGGUCAUCCGUGGGCAAGGCCAUCUCCCACAUGGCCGCCUUUGUUCUCUGCUCCUGGACUGCAGCCCUGCUGGGCCCUCUGUCUCCUUUGGUCCUGCAACCACUGCAACCUCUGGGCAGGAGUUUCCUGGUAUUUUGGAUUCUUUCUUCAAACCCAUUGUCGACUUCACAGGCGGCAGGCAGGAAGGCAGGGCUAUGUGUGCAGAGACCCUCCCAAAUCAGCAGUCUGAGUCAAGGUUAUGGGUCUUUGCUUUGUGCAGUGGGUUGGAGGGGUGCGGUGCAGAGAGAUGUGUGUGUGUGUGUGUGUGUGUGUGUGUGUGUGUGUGUGUGUGUGGAGAGAGAGGGAGAGAGAGAGAGUAGUGCCUACAGGAGAACAAGAGGGUGUG
rnacentral:lncRNA from 1 species